GCUUCGGUAGCUCAGUGGGUUAAGAGCAAUCGGACCGGUGUUCCGAAAGGUCGCAAGUUCGAAUCUUGCCCGAAGCA